rnacentral:rRNA from 1 species
UACGUAGGGGGCUAGCGUUAUCCGGAAUUACUGGGCGUAAAGGGUGCGUAGGUGGUUUCUUAAGUCAGAGGUGAAAGGCUACGGCUCAACCGUAGUAAGCCUUUGAAACUGGGAAACUUGAGUGCAGGAGAGGAGAGUGGAAUUCCUAGUGUAGCGGUGAAAUGCGUAGAUAUUAGGAGGAACACCAGUUGCGAAGGCGGCUCUCUGGACCGUAACUGACACUGAGGCACGAAAGCGUGGGGAGCAAACAGG